GACGAACGCUGGCGGCGUGCUUAACACAUGCAAGUCGAACGGAGCACCCUUGAAGGAGUUUUCGGACAACGGAUAGGGAUGCUUAGUGGCGGACUGGUGAGUAACGCGUGAGGAACCUGCCUUUCGGAGGGGGACAACAGUUGGAAACGACUGCUAAUACCGCAUGAUACAUUUGGAUCGCAUGGUCUGAAUGUCAAAGAUUUAUCGCCGAAAGAUGGCCUCGCGUCUGAUUAGCUAGUUGGUGAGGUAAUGGCCCACCAAGGCGACGAUCAGUAGCCGGACUGAGAGGUUGGCCGGCCACAUUGGGACUGAGAUACGGCCCAG
rnacentral:rRNA from 1 species